CACAAAUGAUGCCAAUCUCACGAUGGUCUGCUGAGCCCACUACGGGGCUGAGGACGUUGCCUCAUGGCUUUACUGAUGCAGCUGA
rnacentral:snoRNA from 1 species